CAUCGUCUGGAUGACUGUUGGUUGCAAUAUUAAAGUGCUAGCUUAAAUCUUGUCACUUUAUCUUUUGGAAUGUUGUUAUCAGGUAGCACAUAAUCAGUAUUGAAUAUGGCCAUGGUAUCUUUGACUUUGUAAGAACAAAAUUGGUAAUCAUUAUCUUGAUAAUGGUAUUCUUUCUAAAUAGUUACCUUUUAUUCCUCAGCACUAAGCUUUCCUGCGUAGACAAUUUCAUUAUUAAUCCUGUUUUAUCUUUAACUUUUAAUUUAUUGAAGUUUACUUCACAUUCACCUGAAAAAAAAUCUUUUUCUUACAGUUGUUGAAGUCUGCAGAAAAAAAGUAAGAUAUAAUAUGCAGCAUCUUUGAAGCCAUGUUUUUUACUAGUUUAUAAUAUCAAAAGUUUUCAAAGUUUUUGAUAAGAAAGAUUUCUUUCAGAUUUUUACUGUGAACUAUGACAAAAUGACAAAAGUACAAAUAUCGUCCAGUCAUAUAGGCACCCUCUGCAAAGCUAGUUACCCUGCGUCAAAAACUAUAAAUGGUAGCCAGUUUUGCCCUCAGUUGUCAGUACCUUGGUAGAUAGCAAUCAAUCCACUUACACAUAUAUCUACUUAAAAUCCAUCCAUGGAUGUAUCACCAGUCACCAAGAAGGUAAACAAUAGACUCAGUGCCAGAAAAAGUUUUAGAUAAUUUCAACAUUAAGGUGUUUUUUCUAUUUUGGCAGUUUGAAAUAAUACCCUAGCAUUAUACUUAUUUAUUGUUCCUGACCUUAGACCCAAGAUCCCAUAAUAGAGAUACCCAGAUACAUGGGUAGAACUUAACCACAGUUUACAUGUAGUUAUAUUUUACUCCAGAAACCCAUCAACUUCAGACACCGAUGCACGCACUGACGCCAAAAGUAACCCUUAUAUGUUGCCUUAAAGGCGAAACAAAAACCUACAAAUUUAAUUAUUUCCAUGACCAGGGAUCUGAUAAAUCUGGACAAUCAAAAGGGAUAAGUUUCUGGUUAUUUGCAAUGUUCCUGUUAAGAUUCAUAUACUCGUGGUCAUCUUUCUGAUGUUGCAUGCAAAUUUCCUUCCAAAUCUAUUUGCGACCUCAAUGUAUGACCUACAUUCUUUAAAAAAAUCAAUUUAAUACUAGAUUUGAUUAUUCUCAUCAUUAACACAGCAAACUAUUAACUAUUAAGUUAAAUAGACAAUAUUGGCUACCUGACAGACACGGAAAAUUACAAUAGUAAAAUAAAUAUUGAAUUAAGUAACCCCAGAGUGUAUAGUGUAAUAUUUACCUUGACAACUUUUCCUUUAACUGAAAGAACACUUUUUUUGGCGACAAUGACGCUGAAAGUAUGUCAUUUGUUUUCUGGAGUGUUGCACCUCUCACAACAGCAUCAGGUACAACAACCAUGUCUGAACUAGUUGAAAAUAUGUCAGUUUUAGAUGUGAUGAUAAUUGUGCUGAAAGAAAUAUAUCGUCAUGUAUAUAAAUGAGAAAUAUAAAUAAAUUAUCAGUGUUUCAAGUUACAUAAAAAUCUCCUUUAUUGUUUAAAAUUUUCUUUAAAUGAAGAAAGGUAGUCGGGCAAAAAAUUCUGAUGAAGAAUUGACAUGCAUUUCACUAUACUACUGAUUUUCUAAAAUAUUUCAAACUUUUAAACUAUAUUCUUGUGAGAAAACAUCCAAGGCGUAAAAACGGUUGUUUGUUUCCAGUGUCCACCUACCCUAUAUUUUUGGCCGCCAACCCUAAACCUUUUGAGGGAAAACAGGCCAUGUUUUUUUUGUUUAACCACAUAAUAAACUUUGCAUCGCAUAUUAUUUUCUUCAAAUACAAAAUAAUAUUUAAAAAGAAAAUAGAGAAAAUGCCUACCGACCUAUCUUAUUAUUUUUAAACCCUGUCACUGGAAACAAGCAAUUUUUUAGGCCUAAUUCUGAUUAGCUUAACAUGUACCACGGACUCGAUGGCGGAAACGGGAAUCCGUAAACUCCCGCUCAUAUAAAUCGAGCAUCCUGUCCAUCCGAGUCAUUUUUUGUGCAUUUAGACUUUCUAUUACUCCUUUGAAAUCUCCAUACUGAUCUUUCAUCAUCUCAACAAGUUCUACUUCAGACCUUCUUUUUACUUUUUUCUUGGCUUGGAGUUUAAUUAUGAAUGUUGAAACUUUCAGUGUCUAAAAUAUUUCUUCUCUGAUUCAGAUGGUGCAUCCACAACUUCUUUGAAUUUUUUUCAAAGAACUGUACUUAUUUAGAGCUUGGUUUGGUGAGACAUUGCAGCCAACUUUCUACAAUUCUUGGGAAAAUCAUCAUUUAACUCAUGCCUGUCAGGUUUACUAACACAUCUUCCUUCUUUUCUGUCCAAACAUGGAAAGUAGUAAGAGGUACAACUUCGGUACAGUUGUUAUUGCUUUCUUUAGUUAACUCUGUUGACUUCUGUUCAACAUCAACUACUGUUAUAGUUUGUUCUGUAGCUGCUUUUAGUAGGGAAUCAAAGAUGUCCUGUUUAACCGCAGGAUCUGUAAUGAUAUGCAUAAUAUAUAUUAACAAAAAUGCUAAUAACAUUAAUUUUGUCUUACCUUUAGUACCAUAAAAGUGCUCUUAACUAGAGCACCCUAGACUAAAUUACUGAGACUAUUAUUUAUACAAUGUGUGAGUUAAUUAUUAUAUAACAUCACCCAAACUUAAAGGACAAGUCAGCUUUGGCUUAUGAUUGUUCAUGUAUAGGUUCUGAAUCCUUCCUUAAAUGUAUGCCUAAAAUAUAUUUAAGUAAUAAAACAAACUAACCGGAUUUAUUUACCCAAUUUUUAUUAUCGGCAAUGUUUGCCUUUCUUCUUUCUGUAUCUUUUCAUGCCGAUCUUAAAGACACUCAUGUAGGAAUAGCAAAGAAAUUAGGUUAGCCACCUCUAAAAUAGCUCUUUUUAAUGCCUUGCUUUUUACAGAAUAUUUUUUUCUUUCUGUUAGAAAUGGAAAGAUAGGAGUUUCACAAUGUUUCAAUAAUCGUUUCAGUAUGUGUUACAUAACUAUCGACUGAAGAAAGAAGUGCUGAAAUUAUUUGUUAUAAAAGUAACAAAACAUAACAUAGUACUUUGUCCAACAAUUGCCAGUAAGAAAAAAAGUCCCAAGAAAGAAGUCCUGAAAUUAUUUGUAAUUUAAGUAACAAAACAUAACAUAGUACUUUGUCUAUAAUUAUAACUUGCAGUUUAAUUUUGUCAAGAAUGAUUAACAAAUACCAAGACAUGUAACUGGAAAGAAUAUUCUAAAAUGAAUACCAAGGUGGGUUAAUUACUCUAUCCUAUUCCAUCAUUGUUCUUUUACAAAUUAAAGCACUAACGGACUGACAAACAUUUUUCAAUAGGGUUAUUUCAUGGCCACCAUACUAUUCUCCCACCUCUCUUUUCAGUCAUGUUUCAUAAAAAACCAAACUGAACACACAAAAAAUACAUUUCUCCUGAUGUUUCAAUAGCCUCUUAGUCAGAAUUGUGUUGGUAUCCUUAAUUUUAAAGCUACAUUAAAUAGAUAUGUAAAAAUAUUUUGCAAUCGGCAUAAAAACCAAGCAUUAUACAGUUUCAUUAACCUUUUUAACAGUAUUGUUGUAAAUCUCAUCAAGCAUUGUUCAUAAAUUAGGAUUAUAAACGGAAAACCCCACGGUAACACUAAAGUUCGUAUACGAAUUUUAACAUGCAAAUGAAGAUAAUAAUCAGUUUGUGUAUGUGCUACGUCACAGUGUUAUGGUUGCUAUACAGAACACAACAAAUAUGAGAUUUGUAAAUUGGCAAUGGCUAGGUGUCAGUCUCUAAUCAUGCUUGUUUUGUCUAUGACAGAAACAGGUUUGACCUUUUCAUGAAUCACCAUUUUAUGUGAAUAUCCAAUCCUCAAAGCAAAGAUCCUUAGAAGAGGCCUUAACAGAUUGCAUUUAACUGUUGUGUAUGGAAGAUUCCCCUUCCUAUAUAACGUUUGUAAGGCUUCUAUUGUAUGAUUACCACCCAUCACCUCAACUUUUCUCGACCCUUCAUGGUAUUAGGUGCUGUGUGAAACCAUACCAUCCAUUAACAUUCCUUGAGUCAUAAACACCUGGCCACAACUGUUUUUCCGCAAAUGACUGUCAGUUUCCCUACAUGUUCAUAAUCUAUGACUUUUGUUGCACUUGGCUCAAUAAGAUUUUCAAUAUGGACUUUAACUGUACAUGCAAAGUCGAAAAUAAAUACAU